GCCUGGGUGGCUCAGUUGGUUGAGCAUCUGACUUUGGCUCAGGUCAUGAUCUCAUGGUUCGUGAGUUCAAGCCCCUCACCAGGCU
rfam:Felis catus isolate Cinnamon breed Abyssinian chromosome D2, whole genome shotgun sequence.